ACGCGCGCUCCGGGGUCGGUGAAACUCCGAGCCGGCGGUGAUAGUCCGCGACCCGUCCGCAGGUAAUGGGACGGCUGAUCCGGUGGAACUCCGGGACCGACGGUCAAAGUCCGGAUGGGAGGACGCGCGC
rnacentral:ncRNA from 2 species